AUGACCAAGUAACCUCGUUAUUUAUUAUUAGCACAUCUCUAAACAAAACCUACUGGAGGAAGUGCCGUGUUUAUGUGCUAAGCCUCCAGUGCUUUCUGCUUCAGUGAGCCAGGAUGCAAAGUCUGACUGCAACAACAACAACCAAGUCAAAGAAAAUUAAGUCAAGGCCACGAAUGGCUCUUAUUAAACUUUCACCUCCCUCAGCCCCUCAGCCCCUAGGUUUCUGAUUUGGAUGAAGUAUUUCAGCUGGCCUAUUCAAAUCACCUGGCCAGUUUUCUAAUGAAUUACUCAAGUAAUAUUAUUCAUGAGAAACCCCUGGGUUCACGUUGUGGUUAUCACCACCAAAUAGAGCCUGAACUCCAGAGAAGAUGUGGCCAGUUAAACCAGUUCCUCUGUCUAGGAGCUCAAACCCUGCAUGAGCAUCUUGUGUCUCACAGGCACAAAGGAAAGCGGGAUGCUCAGAGCCGACAAGCAGCCUUCCUGGUCCAGUCUUACACAGCUGGUGAAGAAAAGCAGAUGCACUGCUGGGCUAGGUAGUUUGUGCUCAGGGGCUGAAUAGGAAGCCAGAAACUGAUUCUGUCUGGCUCAUUGUCUCCGUGCGUUUCUGCUUUCUCGCUCUGAAGCUGUGUUAGUUUGCAAAGCCCUCCAGGUUCAUCAUUUGAACAUGUCUAGGUCAAUAUCUUCGAUAAUAAAUUCAAGGAUCAAUUUUCACUUCUUUUAUAACAGUCCUUCUUACCUUAUCCUAAUAGGAAAAGUGAAUAAUGACACCAAUGUUAUCAAGUCCUCUUCAAAUGAUAAAUGCCUUCAACAUCAACUAUGCAAAGAUCAGGGGAACAUGCAUGCCAUGGUCUUUUACUGUAGGUCACAAAGUAUGACAAAAUGAAGCAGAUUUCCUCUUUUUCAUAGAGCAUCCAAGAAAAUAAGGUUUCCAUAAUUUGAGUCUUUGAUUCGAUAUUUCUUUCUCAGCAGGGGGAAGUUAAAAAAAAAAAAAUGAAGCCACUGAACGUAAAUGUUGAGUAUAAACUUGCUUUUGCUUAAUGCUAAUGUUACUGUUCUUUUCCAGUCACAUAUUUAAUUGCUGAACACAUCCUGUACAGGAUUUCCACCAGACCUCUUAUGUGUACUUGCCACAACGUGCAGUUGUUUCCAUCCUUCACUCAAUACAGAUGCUCACAUACAGAGCUAAUCUGAUUUUCUUAAUGAAUGUGAUGCUGUAGCAAAAGCACAGCUAAAGCACAGCUGAAUAAUCUUGAGACAGCUAUUCAGCCAAGACUUAAAUAUUUCAGGAAAAUGGUAAAUUCCUUUUUGUUUUAGUUUUUUAUUUUCAACAGGCAGGCUUUGCUUCCAGUGGCACAUGCAUGAAUCCUGAACAGACCUCUCUCAUUUUGCUGCCCUGAUUUCACCAAUUCACUUGAACAUAGUGGUUGCGUACACAGUGGGAAAGGGUGUCAAAGCAUUUGGUUUAUGCCAGAAAAAUCAAAUCUCACCCCCACCAAUGUCAGAGCUGGAAGCUGCUGUAGGCUCCCUUGGAAGGACCUUAGUGGUCCAACACGGCUUCUCCAAUCCUAAAGCUGGGAAGAGGCAAUUGGCCUGCUUGGAUCCCAGCCCCAAUGGUACAGGUUACCACAGAGUCUCCUCUUUGCUCUUUUUGGGCUGUAAUUCAGGGUAUGAUUAAAAAAAAAAAAAAAAAAAAAAAAAAGUGAAUUCUUGGAAGCAUGCAACGUUUCUCAUAUAAAAAUUCCUUCAAAGUCAAACCCAGUGUGAGGCAUUCACAGAAAGCAUUCCAAGUAAGCAAAGCAUGAGCAGUUACACAUUAAAAUAGCCUUUCUCCAGGUAACCGCAACAAUAAAACAACUACCAGAGCUGGCAUGUCUCAAGAAGACCCAGCAGGAAAAGUAAGAAAGAGCAGAGAGCUGAACUUGAACUUACCCCCUGGUGAUAACCCCCAGCCCUGGGGCUGGGGAUUUUGAAGAAGGGACUUACCAGGGGGGCUGACAACAGCACGCAGGUUUCUGAGGAAAAUAGAGCCUGUCAUCUCACUGCUCUUCAGAAAGCCACAAACAGAGGCAUGAAAGAGCAAAGCAGCAAGGAAGAAAGCUCAACUUGGUUUUGUCCAGGAGCAGUUGUUGAGUGAGCCCAAAGGGCUGGCAGAAAUGCCCUGAGGCUGGGGUCACAUCUUGUCAGCUGGGAUUAUCCUUGUGUAAAUCCCACCAUGCAGAGGGCAUUCCUGGUGGUGUCAGGGGGUCUGCCAUGGUGACAUUAACACCAAAAGCCACCUGUUUCUGAAGGACAAAGAUGAAAUCACAAGUCCAGAAAGACAUAAGUGCUUGAGCAGGGUGGGUCAAGCUUUGUUAAGUGCUGUAUGAUCAGAUUAGAGAGAAGUGGUGCUAAUAAAAGGCCAGAUGAGGGUAGAUUUGAAGCCACUGGAAAAAGGCUUGCUGAAUUGAAUGGGUGCAAGGGAGGGCAAACCAAGGGCUUUGGGCAACUCCAGGCCUAGUCCCUGAUGCUUAUGGCAUGCAGCUCAAAGGGCGAGAGUAAUGGACCAUAGGCUUCUUCCAACCCGAUGUCCCGUGCCUCCAUGGACAUCUUAGAAACUUUCUGAAGUUUCUUGAAAAAACUGUUGGAAUAAGAAAUGUGCCAUAAGCAUAACACCUUGUCUUCUUGUCAGCACCCUGUCCUGCGACUAAGAAUAUCCCAGUUCAAUCACUGGCACUGCCUCUGACUUUCUGGGUGAUGGUGAAAAUAAAACCAAAACAUCCGAGCAGUCAAGCUAAAUGUCCCAGUAACAGAGCAGUCUUUUUUUUUUAUAAGGAGCUAAACUGGGUAAACUGUUCAACCCUGUGCUGAGCUUUCAGUGCCCACAUGUACAAGGACAAGAGCAAUCCAUUCUUCCUUCCUUUUGCUUGCCCAUCUCAGAGCAGAGCCCUGGGUUUGCUCUGUGUGUGUAUAGCACCCAGCACACAAAGCCCCAGGUCUCACCAAGAGCCUGCUGCAGUCAGCUGCAGUCUCCUCUCCCUGGCUGGCAGUGGGCACAGCACCACGAAAAUGCUGCUUUCCUUAACUUAACGUACCAUGGUUUGUCAAUGAGGAGCAAACCAGCACAACUGAACUGCCCUUGCUCAUCUUGUGCCAGGUAAGGAUGCAAAUCUCCUCUUUGACCAGGGACAGAGCAGAGCCAGAGGUUAGCUUGUUGUGACUUAGGGAAUCCAAAGGCUUUGCUCUUGUUUUUUUUUUUUGCCAAACCCUAAAUCCAGCACCAUGUUGUGACUGAUACUAUUGCGGGAGGGAGCCAGAGGCAUCAAGCAAUAAAUUAAAAAGAAUUAAGACCAUCUGCUGCCCAGGAUUGCCAGUCCUGCAGAGUCAGCCGAGAGAAGGAGUUACAAUAUCCGAGCUACAUUCCCUGGAAAGCCAUCUAAAUCCAAUCAGUAGUGCUGUGUCCCUCUUGCACGCAGCAGCAGGUGAAAGCCAACAGAAACAACAAUUUUACUAGAAGUUCGAGGAGUUCUUUACAGAGAGCAGUCAGCAUAUUACCGUAUCCCUGCCCGUGGCAGGAAGGUGAGACCAGAUGAUCUUUUAGGUCUCUUCCAAACCAAAACAUUCUAUGAUGCUAUGAUUUUGUGUGUGAGUAAGGGCCUACACAGCACAUAAACACAUCUUCUAGCUGGAUCUGAGUUCUGGCACCAAAUCGCCGUCAUACAGGGUCUUUCAUGUAGCCAGGAAUCCACAUGAGUGUAUUUUACCCUAUAUAACCCUAUAAAUGAUGCUAAACCUAUAAAUGAAGCUCUGAGAAUCCAAGUGUGGACAAAUGGGACCAGAGACACUGAUAAUAUAGCUCCUUACAGCAGGAUAGGAGAGAAGCCUGAUUUUUUGGCCACUGCAGAUCAUUAUUUAUAAUGUAGAGGCAAAUGCCAUCGAGGGGACAAUAAGCUCAUUUAUCACCGGACUGCACAAGGCUGGAAGAGCGGUGUCCUCUUGAUCGUUAUCCAAAUGUCUCUGAGCUGAAAGCACUCCCAUCUCAGCAGCAGUUUUCUUCUGAAGCUAGCUAGUGCUGUCAGUGCCUUUUGCCAAUAGUAGCUAUAAUUACAUUAAAUGGUUGAUUUGCAGAAACAGAAGGAGAACAACAUGUGCAGAGCUAUGUUGCAAAACAUCACAAGGAGUUUGCACACUUCUGCCACUCCAGUAAACCAGUCACGAUGACACUCACACUCCAAUUUUCUCCCUGUAUUUUGGAGAUAAGGCUGUUUAGAAUUCUUCUGCGGGAUUAUCUGAUGGCCGCACGCAGCUUGAUGCAUUGAGACCAUUAGAGGUGAGCUGGAUGACCCCCGGAACAAUCCCCUGCUAUGAAUAGCCAUCAUGAGCCGGUGGGAACAAAGCACAAGAUGUAAUGUGUCCUUCCCUGAGCUUCAGAGAGGGAUGCUCAGGAACUUAAAAAUAAAAGAGCUUCAUUUCUAUGAAUUAGAAGUGAAUCUGCGGCACGCACUGCCUCUUCUCUUGGGAGCACACUGGUGUUAGGCCAUCAUGCAACACGUAUCCAGGCUGUGCACCAGAGAGGAACCUGACUCCAGGUGCUUGGUCCCAGCGCUUGCAGUACCAUGAAGAACAGGACAUGUUUUGGGACCUGCAAAGUUCUUUGCUGCACGGGCUCCUUCUGGAGCUUCUCACUUGUUCCUAGCACUCCAGACUCUCGGGAGGAGGAGGUGGCUCAUUGUUCCUGGUGCCGGCUGUGCUGCCACCCCUCAGCUCCCACGUCUCAGCCGGCAGGGAAAACAAGGCCCUAAGCUGAGAAGAUGACAAAUUGGUGCAGUUACAGCAAGACCUUGUUCUGCAGAGCCAGGCAGAAAUCUCCAUGGGGCUCCUCGCCCCAAUUUUGAUCCUUCAAAAUUUAAUAUUUAAUUAAUUAAUUUAAUAAUUAAUAUUUAUUUAAUAUUUCUUCCCUCAAA